UACGUAGGGUGCAAGCGUUAAUCGGAAUUACUGGGCGUAAAGCGUGCGCAGGCGGUUCGGAAAGAGAGGUGUGAAAUCCCAGGGCUUAACCUUGGAACUGCACUUCUAACUACCGGGCUAGAGUACGUCAGAGGGGGGUAGAAUUCCACGUGUAGCAGUGAAAUGCGUAGAGAUGUGGAGGAAUACCGAUGGCGAAGGCAGCCCCCUGGGAUGAUACUGACGCUCAUGCACGGAAGCGUGGGGAGCAAACAGG
rnacentral:rRNA from 1 species